CUGACGUCACUCCCAAACCUCCUAUGGAAUUCCCCACACACAAGAACGACUAAAAGCUUACGAUCAUUUACUAGCGUUGCAUCUAUAACUUGUGCAAUAAAAUAUUGGGCAAUAUAUUGAUAAAGUUCAACUAUUUGGAGCACAAACAUUAUGGGCAUCGAGGUCGACCUUCCAGGAUUUUCCACGCUGAGUUUAAGCCCGCUAAUACAUCGGUAUCGAUACCGGGGAUGUCCCCCCACAUAUGUUUAACUAUCAUCCCUGGUUGGUCGUCAUUCUUCACCAAUUCCUUCUCGUUGCGCUCGGAAUACGGGGCAGGCUGUGGGUGAUAUGGGCUUUUCCCUCAACAACCCAGUGACCCAAACAUCAUCAAGAUGCAUCAACUCGGUCAUGCGAGACACCUCAAAUAAUUUCGUUGCCAUUUUGCUUGUGGUUGUGUAGAGACCCCCUCGGCAAUAGACCGGCCAUUGGGUGGGUGGGUACUUCAAGUACGAGAUCUUCCAUUUUGAUGAAUAUUCCCGCGCGGGAACGUCACACUUCUGGUAACUGUACAUGCAACUUAUCGGUAAGUCGCCGAACGAAUCAAAUUUGUCGUUGCGUUCACCAACCCUGUAGUGUGGUAGCAUGGUGUGCAGGUGCGCCACCAUGUGGGGGAUGUGAAUUGCUACGUCGUCGUCACACGAGGAGUAAAACCAACGAUCGGGGAGGAUGUGAGCGACCCACUGCAUUCCUGCCACAGUCUUCAAUGUGAUCGGGCUGUGAAGGAUGAAUUCAUUGAGACUUAUUUAUCCCCUAGUGAUGGGGAUGUUAACAGCCACACAGUGUAAACAAGAUAAGUAAUUAAGGACACAACAACCUUUGAGACCACACAACAAACAAUUGCCAGAAGCUAGGUUUCCUGUGACAAAAGGAUUGUUUGCAUCACAAUACACAAAGGAUAAAACGCUUGUGCGAAAACAAUACAUUAAUUUGGUUAAAAGUUUGUUAUGGCGAGGUUGUUCCAUGUUACCCAUUCAUGUUUGAAGGGAUGAUGUAUUCAAAACAACUUAAGACUUUUAAUACAACUGAUGGAAUUCCAAGGCAUAAUACACAUCACAUCAGUGUUGCCCCGAACGACCACCUAACCCUCCCCAACCAACCCCCCCCUACACCCCCCAACCUACCAGGGUGCAACCCACAAACCCCAUGAGCGAUCGUCUUCUCAACCUUCCAUGGCGUCGAAACAAAUUUGAUUAAAUCUCGUUUAUUCGACAAAUCGUCGCUGUAAACGCUGUUCAACUCGUUGUUCUGCUUCGCCGCACACACGGGUGGAAGUUCGCUGGAUGGAGGAGAUGGUUAAAUUAAAACUCGUUAAUGAUUUUAACUUGGUUUUUAUUUAUUUAUUAAAUAAAACCACAGUCA